rnacentral:rRNA from 1 species
UACGUAGGGUGCAAGCGUUAAUCGGAAUUACUGGGCGUAAAGCGUGCGCAGGCGGUUAUGUAAGACAGAUGUGAAAUGCCCGGGCUUAACCUGGGAACUGCAUUUGUGACUGCAUGGCUAGAGUUUGGCAGAGGGGGGUAGAAUUCCACGUGUAGCAGUGAAAUGCGUAGAUAUGUGGAGGAACACCGAUGGCGAAGGCAGCCCCCUGGGUCAAUACUGACGCUCAUGCACGAAAGCGUGGGGAGCAAACAGG